AAAUCGCGAUAUGUAGUGUGAUCUGCCCAUAGUGAAUCAUCAAAUUUUUGAACGCAUCUUGCACCCUUGGGUAUUCCUGAGGGUACGCCUGUUUCAGUAUCAUUUUAACUUCUCUGUCAAAAAUUUAUUUUUUUGGCUUGGAAAAAUUACGCUUGGCCCUUGAGUUUUGGGGAGAAAAAAUUUAUUUAUUUUCCCCUAGCUUCACGGCUUAAAUACGCUCGGUCAGAUUUGACUGGUAUUUUACCUUUUGGUAGAUUUAUCUGCUUUUAAAGUAACCCUAACCAGCCAUUUUUACCAACCACAUUAAAAACUUGAUCUGAAAUCAGGCGGGAUUACCCGCUGAACUUAA
rnacentral:misc_RNA from 1 species